UUGAAGGUUGGGUAACACUAACUGGAGGACCGAACCGACUAAUGUUGAAAAAUUAGCGGAUGACCUGUGGCUGGGGGUGAAAGGCCAAUCAAACCGGGAGAUAGCUGGUUCUCCCCGAAAGCUAUUUAGGUAGCGCCUCGUGAAUUCAUCUCCGGGGGUAGAGCACUGUUUCGGCUAGGGGGCCAUCCCGGCUUACCAACCCGAUGCAAACUGCGAAUACCGGAGAAUGUUAUCACGGGAGACACACGGCGGGUGCUAACGUCCGUCGUGAAGAGGGAAACAACCCAGACCGCCAGCUAAGGUCCCAAAGUCAUGGUUAAGUGGGAAACGAUGUGGGAAGGCCCAGACAGCCAGGAUGUUGGCUUAGAAGCAGCCAUCAUUUAAAGAAAGCGUAAUAGCUCACUGGUCGAGUCGGCCUGCGCGGAAGAUGUAACGGGGCUAAACCAUGCACCGAAGCUGCGGCAGCGACGCUGAUGCGUUGUUGGGUAGGGGAGCGUUCUGUAAGCCUGCGAAGGUGGCCUGUGAGGGUUGCUGGAGGUAUCAGAAGUGCGAAUGCUGACAUAAGUAACGAUAAAGCGGGUGAAAAGCCCGCUCGCCGGAAGACCAAGGGUUCCUGUCCAACGUUAAUCGGGGCAGGGUGAGUCGACCCCUAAGGCGAGGCCGAAAGGCGUAGUCGAUGGGAAACGGGUUAAUAUUCCCGUACUUGGUGUUACUGCGAAGGGGGGACGGAGAAGGCUAUGUUGGCCGGGCGACGGUUGUCCCGGUUUAAGCGUGUAGGUGUGUGUUCCAGGUAAAUCCGGUUCACUUUAACACUGAGGCGUGAUGACGAGGCACUACGGUGCUGAAGCAACAAAUGCCCUGCUUCCAGGAAAAGCCUCUAAGCAUCAGGUAACAUCAAAUCGUACCCCAAACCGACACAGGUGGUCAGGUAGAGAAUACCAAGGCGCUUGAGAGAACUCGGGUGAAGGAACUAGGCAAAAUGGUGCCGUAACUUCGGGAGAAGGCACGCUGACACGUAGGUGAAGUGAUUUACUCAUGGAGCUGAAGUCAGUCGAAGAUACCAGCUGGCUGCAACUGUUUAUUAAAAACACAGCACUGUGCAAACACGAAAGUGGACGUAUACGGUGUGACGCCUGCCCGGUGCCGGAAGGUUAAUUGAUGGGGUCAGCGCAAGCGAAGCUCCUGAUCGAAGCCCCGGUAAACGGCGGCCGUAACUAUAACGGUCCUAAGGUAGCGAAAUUCCUUGUCGGGUAAGUUCCGACCUGCACGAAUGGCGUAAUGAUGGCCAGGCUGUCUCCACCCGAGACUCAGUGAAAUUGAACUCGCUGUGAAGAUGCAGUGUACCCGCGGCAAGACGGAAAGACCCCGUGAACCUUUACUAUAGCUUGACACUGAACAUUGAGCCUUGAUGUGUAGGAUAGGUGGGAGGCUUUGAAGUGUGGACGCCAGUCUGCAUGGAGCCGACCUUGAAAUACCACCCUUUAAUGUUUGAUGUUCUAACGUGGACCCGUGAUCCGGGUUGCGGACAGUGUCUGGUGGGUAGUUUGACUGGGGCGGUCUCCUCCUAAAGAGUAACGGAGGAGCACGAAGGUUGGCUAAUCCUGGUCGGACAUCAGGAGGUUAGUGCAAUGGCAUAAGCCAGCUUGACUGCGAGCGUGACGGCGCGAGCAGGUGCGAAAGCAGGUCAUAGUGAUCCGGUGGUUCUGAAUGGAAGGGCCAUCGCUCAACGGAUAAAAGGUACUCCGGGGAUAACAGGCUGAUACCGCCCAAGAGUUCAUAUCGACGGCGGUGUUUGGCACCUCGAUGUCGGCUCAUCACAUCCUGGGGCUGAAGUAGGUCCCAAGGGUAUGGCUGUUCGCCAUUUAAAGUGGUACGCGAGCUGGGUUUAGAACGUCGUGAGACAGUUCGGUCCCUAUCUGCCGUGGGCGCUGGAGAACUGAGGGGGGCUGCUCCUAGUACGAGAGGACCGGAGUGGACGCAUCACUGGUGUUCGGGUUGUCAUGCCAAUGGCACUGCCCGGUAGCUAAAUGCGGAAGAGAUAAGUGCUGAAAGCAUCUAAGCACGAAACUUGCCCCGA
rnacentral:rRNA from 1 species